rnacentral:rRNA from 2 species
CGAAUGGAUUAAGAGCUUGCUCUUAUGAAGUUAGCGGCGGACGGGUGAGUAACACGUGGGUAACCUGCCCAUAAGACUGGGAUAACUCCGGGAAACCGGGGCUAAUACCGGAUAACAUUUUGAACUGCAUGGUUCGAAAUUGAAAGGCGGCUUCGGCUGUCACUUAUGGAUGGACCCGCGUCGCAUUAGCUAGUUGGUGAGGUAACGGCUCACCAAGGCAACGAUGCGUAGCCGACCUGAGAGGGUGAUCGGCCACACUGGGACUGAGACACGGCCCAGACUCCUACGGGAGGCAGCAGUAGGGAAUCUUCCGCAAUGGACGAAAGUCUGACGGAGCAACGCCGCGUGAGUGAUGAAGGCUUUCGGGUCGUAAAACUCUGUUGUUAGGGAAGAACAAGUGCUAGUUGAAUAAGCUGGCACCUUGACGGUACCUAACCAGAAAGCCACGGCUAACUACGUGCCAGCAGCCGCGGUAAUACGUAGGUGGCAAGCGUUAUCCGGAAUUAUUGGGCGUAAAGCGCGCGCAGGUGGUUUCUUAAGUCUGAUGUGAAAGCCCACGGCUCAACCGUGGAGGGUCAUUGGAAACUGGGAGACUUGAGUGCAGAAGAGGAAAGUGGAAUUCCAUGUGUAGCGGUGAAAUGCGUAGAGAUAUGGAGGAACACCAGUGGCGAAGGCGACUUUCUGGUCUGUAACUGACACUGAGGCGCGAAAGCGUGGGGAGCACACAGGAUUAGAUACCCUGGUAGUCCACGCCGUACACGAUGAGUGCUAAGUGUUAGAGGGUUUCCGCCCUUUAGUGCUGAAGUUAACGCAUUAAGCACUCCGCCUGGGGAGUACGGCCGCGAGGCUGAAACUCAAAGGAAUUGACGGGCGCCCGCACAAGCGGUGGAGCAUGUGGUUUAUUCGAAGCAACGCGAAGAACUUUACACGUCUUGACAUCCUCUGAAAACCCUAAAAAUAGGGCUUCUCUUCCGGGAGCAGAAGUGACGGUGGUGCAUGG